UGACUCUGGGGAAGACAGCGAGGGCGGUGAGAGAUUCCUAUCCGCCGGAGUGAUCACAUCUCAGGCCUAUCGGAACGGGAGUUUCCACUCUCUGACCCGAGAGGGAGGGCUCUAUACAGGACGCAAUAGUCUAACUCAGCAGUGCAUAUUGUUCGAAUAAGGAAUAUCUUUCUGGAGCUGCCGGCAAGGGAUUUAUUUUCCGCAUUCUGCUUAGACUGCUUUCCAUGCGUAGUACCACCGCGUCAAAGGCUACCUGACAGUCAUCGUUUUUUUUUUACAGCUAUCACAUGAUGUUAGACAAGUUCAAGUCGUGACUUCAAGCUUAAGGAAUGGCGUUUUCCGCAUAUUGUGAAUCGAGUUAGGACUUCUUCAUAACUUUUCUAUGCCCAAACAAUAGUCACGGGUGUAGGGAAGCGGUGCCACAAGUCAAGCUUCACACAUGCUUCAUCUAAGAGCAACUUUCGAUUUGCAGCAGGAUGUGGUCUCGAGGGUUUUCAAGAAAGAGGCGACGGUGGGAACAAUCAAAGAAUUCUCAGGGACAGUUGACACUCGGAUCAUCAACAUUGAAAGGGAUGGAGCAGUCCUCUACUCGUGGAAAGGAACCACUGGGACCACCAGGAUCGGGAAAUACGAACCCAAUACUAAACAGAAUAAGCUCCUCUAUACAUUUGACAGCGAGGUGUUUGUCAGCAGCUGUUCCCUGAAUAAGGAGGAGUCCCUUCUGGCUGUAAGUCUCAAACAGAGGACGAGGGUGGAGGAGGGCCUCAAACCAGUUUCAAAAUGUCUGACCCUCCUCAUUGAGAUCCACCCUAUAAACAACACCAAGGUCCUGAAAGCCGUUGACUGCAGGGUCAGAGUUCAGUUCAUAUAUCCAGAGGAAGAGAGGAACUCCAUGAUGGAGAGCCACCUGCUGCUUGUAACAGAAGAUGGUUAUGCGGAACAGUUCCAUGUGACCUUGGUGAAACAGGAUGGGUACAGAGUGGUGAUGCAGAACCCGGAGCGCCUCCCCAAAGACAGGGUGGCGGAGGACUUCAGCUGGGUCCAGUGGGACGGCCAGGCCCAGAGACUCUUUUACCUGACAUACAGGGAAAAAGCAGUGUUGAAAUGUGUGCAAUUCUACCACAAUCGCAUUUGUGAGACCUUGUUUGAACUGCCAAUGGAGUGGCCUUCCAACCCUUUCACCUGUAUGAGGUUUGUCAACCUUGGCUUUGACCACCACCAGGAUCCCCAGCACCGACGUGAAGAGAUGAGGAUGGCUGUUUACACCAAUAGAACAGAGCGUAGUAUGUGUGUGUGCUACAGCCGACCUGCGGCUGUCACUCAGGAAAUCACAUACACCAUCGUCUUAGUACACAGAGGUUGCAGCAAAACGUUUACUGUUGCUUUGGAGGGCGUGCCCAAUCCGUGUUCCGCAGAACUCCUCCCGCUCUUUAUCCCUAUUGGUUACUACAUUGUGGUCUUCCUGGCUGGUCACUUCCUGCACUGUAUUAACACCAGACAACAAGAACUACUCUGCUACAGCCUCUUCCUCACAGGUGCCGAUGCAGAGCUGGGUGUGUUGGGACCCGAGAGUGUGGUUCUGUCCCUACCAGUGUCCUCCCUUCUUGACCUGAACACUGGCAGGAUUUACACCGCCGAACUCAGCUCCGCCUUUCUCCUGGACCUACUGAACUGCAGCCACAGUAGACCAGACCCCCAGUGCCUGGCCGCCCUGCACUGUCUACUGGUGCACAUGGGACCCAACCCCAAGCUGGAACUAAAGGUAAUAGAUUGGAUCUGUGACAAUGUGAUGCCGUUCGACACCUUUGAUCAAAUUCAGGAGUUCAUUCUGGCGUCGCUGUACAGGAUAGCGUACAGGAAUUCUCUCAGUGUGGACAAAGUCCUAGCCUACUCCUCAGUGUUCGAGAAGAAGAUUCCUGAAGGUCUCGACAAGGUCUCUGGGGUAACCUGCACCAAAGAGCUACACGCUGAGCCGCUUUUUAGAGGAAAGGCCAGGAGUCUGGAGGGUUACUGGGAGGAGCUUCAGUGGGGCACAGAGAUGACAAAGUACUUUGAGGCAGUUCCAAACCCACGAUUCAGAACCUCUCAGAGCCUGCCAGACUGGACCAAGCUGUUAGCCACUCUGAAGUCCCCCAAUAUGAAGUCCUCCUGCUGUCCGCGUCACAUAGAAGAGAACACUAAAAAAGUUCUGUCGGUGGUGGACAGCUGGAAUCUUGGUCAGAAGAUGGUGCCUCUGUUCCAAGAGGAGGACCAGCACCAGAGGGCGCUCAUAGGCCUGAUGGUGGACAAGCUGAGAGAGCACCUGAAUAGACAUCUGCCACGACUGGGGAAGAAGAAGAUUGAUGUGCUGGCGGUGAACUAUGUGGCUAAGCUGCUGGAGCUGACCAGACAAGUGUUGGAGUGUGUGUGGACAAAGUACAACCUUGGUCCUCGGGUGAUGUGCCUCACACAGCCGGGCAGCUCAGUGGACUGGGCUGUGUUUCACGUGAUGAGCCGGAUUUUGGAGGCUACAAAGACUCUCUGUCUGCCCCUCCCUCCUGGUUAUCAUACUCUGCUGGCGGUGCUGGGGGUACGCUGCCUCCCCAGACACACCUUUCUGCAGUACCUGGACCAUGGUGUGUUGCAGCUUACAGAGACCUUUGUCUCACGCCUCAUGACGGAUCUGGACAACAGUGAUGCCAAUGAAGAGCUCAAAUUCAGUAUUCUGAAGAGACUUCCUGAGCCAAUGGAGCAGAAGAUCUGCCACCUGUGGGAUCACCCCAUCAGCUCUGCCUGUAUCUCCAGAAACUACGUCAGAGGCCUGCUGGAGAAACGUGCCAAGACCAAGGGCUCGACACUCAUUGAAAUAGACCAUGCUGGCUUCAGGCCAGAGUUUCUGCCUCUCACCUAUCUGGCCAAAAUCCUGUCGGAUAUGGAGGAUAAAGCACAGAACCCGUUUGAGGAGCAGGAGAAUGUGGACGCCAGGUUUGUAGAGGAGACGGCUCUGAAACAGACUCUGAUCGUGCUGGGUUUUGAUGAGAAGUGAGGAUGGAGGAACAGAACGUGGAGAGGAAGUGGAGCAGGAGAAAAGAAUCCAAGCUCGUUUACUGAACACUUCAUAUUCUCACCACGCUGCAGUUUAAAGUGACGACGUCAUGGAGGACGAUGGACGCGGUUAUGUAGCUGCCUAUACCGCGAAUGCAACAAAUGCACCGUCUGAAUCACACAGGCGACAGACUGCGGAAAAGAUGAACAGCAAGCGGGGUGGAUGGAUGGGAAUGGGUGACUGGAUGGACUUGAUGGAUUGAUGAGUGUCAAGAGACAGAAACAUGAUGGAUGGUUCACCGACGGAAUGCAGCCAAGUGAGAUCAGACGAAGAGUUAGGAACCUGCCCCAAUCUGAGACUUACUAAAGGUUCUGCCCUCCCUAUGAAACUUGGCGCUGUCAGAACAGAGGACAUUGUCCCUUGGUUAAUAGGUUCUGGUUCCAAACAAAGACAUUAGAAUGUCUAUUUCCCGUCAGCCGCUGUGGAUGAACAGCAGUGGGCCAACAUUCCAACCUCUGCCCCAGCCUCUACCCCCACACUGGUCUACAUAUCUGCCCUACCCCUGGGCCCAGCCUCUGCCCCAGCCUCUGCCCCAGCCUCUACCCCCACGCUGGUCUACAUCUCUGCCCUAACCCUGGGCCCAGCCUCUGCCCCAGCCUUUACCCCCACGCUGGCCCACACCUCUGCUCCACCCCUGGGACCAAGCUUUGCCCCCAGCCUCUACCCCAAUGCUGGACCACACUUCUGCUCCACCCCUGGCUCCAGCCUCUGCCCCACCCCUGGCCCCAGUCUCUGUCCCACGUCUGGCCCCUGUCUCU